AGAGUUUGAUCCUGGCUCAGGACGAACGCUGGCGGCGUGCUUAAGACAUGCAAGUCGAACGGGGUCCAUCCUUCGGGAGAAGACCUAGUGGCGAACGGGUGAGUAACACGUGAGCAACCUGCCCCAAAGACAGGGAUAAGCGAGGGAAACUUCGUCUAAUACCUGAUGCCCUUACGGAAUCACAUGUUUCUGUAAGGAAAUGAUUUAUCGCUUUGGGAGGGGCUCGCGGCCUAUCAGCUUGUUGGUGGGGUAACGGCCUACCAAGGCGUCGACGGGUAGCUGGUCUGAGAGGAUGAUCAGCCACACUGGGACUGAGAUACGGCCCAGACUCCUACGGGAGGCAGCAGUUAGGAAUCUUGCGCAAUGGGCGAAAGCCUGACGCAGCAACGCCGCGUGGGGGAUGAAUGGUUUCGGCUUGUAAACCCCUUUCAGCAGGAACGAAAUUGACGGUACCUGCAGAAGAAGCUCCGGCCAACUACGUGCCAGCAGCCGCGGUAAUACGUAGGGAGCAAGCGUUGUCCGGAUUUAUUGGGCGUAAAGAGCUCGUAGGCGGCUUAGCAAGUCAGGUGUGAAAACUCCAGGCUCAACCUGGAGACGCCACUUGAUACUGCUAUGGCUUGAGUACGGUAGGGGAUCACGGAAUUCCUGGUGUAGCGGUGAAAUGCGCAGAUAUCAGGAGGAACACCGAUGGCGAAGGCAGUGAUCUGGGCCGAUACUGACGCUGAGGAGCGAAAGCGUGGGUAGCGAACAGGAUUAGAUACCCUAGUAGUCC
rnacentral:rRNA from 1 species